AGGGAUAUAGCUCAGUGACACAGCACCUGCUUAGCAAGCAUGAGGUCCUGAGUUCGAUGCCCAGUACCCCCC
rnacentral:tRNA from 1 species